UGGUAUGAGUGGUCCUUUGACCUGCGGUGAUAUUGGCUAUUCACAGCGAGGCUACUGAGUUUGACCGCACGUUCUCUUGGUUCUUAACCAUUCGGAUCCUUACUGUGUAUGUUGGCUUUAGUAGGUUCAGGUUCGCUGUUUGGAGUAGGAUGCACUUAGAUGAAAUUUAUCGACUUUGGUAGAAAAGGAGAAGUCCUAUGUGAUUUGCGAGAUUGAGUUCAGAAAGUU
rnacentral:lncRNA from 1 species